rnacentral:piRNA from 1 species
UNGUAGGUUGGUCUAUGAUGGUCUAAGGA